rnacentral:rRNA from 1 species
UGCUAAUACCCACUAGCCUUUCGAGUGAAAUGGAUUAUAUUAUCCGCCUAGAGAGAAGCUCGCGGCUGAUUAGCUUGUUGGUAAGGUAAGAGCUUACCAAGGCGACGAUCAGUAUCUGGUUUGAGAGGACGAUCAGACACACUGGNACUGAGACACGGUCCAGACUCCUACGGGAGGCAGCAGUGGGGAAUUUUCCGCAAUGGGCGAAAGCNUGACGGAGCAAUACCGCGUGAGGGAAGACUGCCUAUGGGUUGUAAACCUCUUUUUUCAGGGAGGAAUCAAUGACGUGUACCUGAAG